AGGGCUGUAGUUCAGUGAUAGAACAUCUGCUUCAAAUGCAGAAGGUCUCAGGUUUAUUCCAUGGCACCCCCA